AGAAAAAUGUUGAUCUGAGACAAGUAUGUUUUUCAAACCUGCUUUGAAGCGAUCUGGUGAUGGUGUGAGACCAGAAGCAAGGUGAAAUUCAGAAAUCACUCAAGGAGUUCUGAGUCUGAAUAAAGUAAGACUCAGCGCGGCCAGGCGUUAAUGGAACGAGUGGGUAAAAAAGCUUCUUUUUAUCAACAAGGGUGGUAACGCGAUAAUCUCGUCCCUUUU
rnacentral:ncRNA from 1 species